GAAAUUCGAUAAGUAAUGUGAAUUGCAGAAUUCAGUGAAUCAUCGAAUCUUUGAACGUACCUUGCGCUCCUUGGUAUUCCUUGGAGCAUGCCUGUUUGAGUAUCAUGAAAUCUUCAAAGUAAAUCUUUUGUUAACUCAAUUGGUUUCUACUUUGGUAUUGGAGGUCUUUGCAGCUUCACACCUGCUCCUCUUUGUUCAUUAGCUGGAUCUCAGUGUUAUGCUUGGUUCCACUCGGCGUGAUAAGUUAUCUAUCGCUGAGGACACUGUAAAAGGUGGCCAAGGUAAAUGCAGAUGAACCGCUUCUAAUAGUCCAUUGACUUGGACAAUACUUUUAUGAUCUGAUCUCAAAUCAGGUAGGACUACCCGCUGAACUUAAGC
rnacentral:misc_RNA from 1 species